rnacentral:rRNA from 1 species
GUGCAGCAGUCGCGAAAACUUCACACUGUGCGAAAGCACGAUGAGGGAAUCCCAAGUGCUUGCACGUAAGUGUAAGCUGUUUCUCUGUCUAAAACGCAGAGAGAGUAAGGGCUGGGUAAGACGGGUGCCAGCCGCCGCGGUAAUACCUGCAGCUCAAGUGGUGACCGUUAUUAUUGGGCCUAAAACGUCCGUAGCCGGUUUAAUAAAUGCCUGGGUAAAUUGUGUAGCUUAACUAUACGAAUUCCGGGUAGACUGUUAAACUUGAGACCGGGAGAAGUUAGAGGUACUCCUGGGGUAGAGGUGAAAAUUCUGUAAUCCUAGGGGGACCACCAGUGGCGAAGGCGUCUAACUAGAACGGGUCUGACGGUGAGGGACGAAGCCCUGGGGCGC